rnacentral:rRNA from 1 species
UACGAAGGGGGCUAGCGUUGCUCGGAAUCACUGGGCGUAAAGCGCACGUAGGCGGAUUGUUAAGUCGGGUGUGAAAGCCCCGGGCUCAACCUGGGAAUUGCAUUCGAGACUGAAUAGCUAGGGUACGGUAGAGGGAAGUGGAAUUUCCGGUGUAGCGGUGAAAUGCGUAGAUAUCGGAAGGAACAUCAGUGGCGAAAGCGACUUCCUGGACCAGUACCGACGUUCAGGCACGAAAGCGUGGGGAGCAAACAGG